rnacentral:rRNA from 1 species
UACGUAGGGUGCGAGCGUUGUCCGGAAUUACUGGGCGUAAAGAGCUCGUAGGUGGUUUUGUCGCGUUGUCCGUGAAAACUCACAGCUUAACUGUGGGCGUGCGGGCGAUACGGGCAGACUGGAGUACUGCAGGGGAGACUGGAAUUCCUGGUGUAGCGGUGGAAUGCGCAGAUAUCAGGAGGAACACCGGUGGCGAAGGCGGGUCUCUGGGCAGUAACUGACGCUGAGGCGCGAAAGCGUGGGGAGCAAACAGG